UGCUCCGAGCCAGGACUGCUCACCUGGGGCGCCGAACCCGUCUCACGGUGAUGCCCAGUGGAAGAGAGCGCGCGACACCUCAGGUUGUUACCACUUAAGACAAAAUUUACAGAAUGUCUACAAAGGAUCCUGACAGAUAUAGAAGAGCAGCUAAUGCACAGGGAUGGAACCUAGGCUUCAGCACGCAAACACACUCCUCUCCAAACAGCAAGCUGAUGGUACAAAGGAACAAGGACUGUGAAAAUUCCAUCUGGGUGAUGGGUAACCCCAGGUACACAGGUGGCAGUAGCAGGAACAUCCAGAGCCCAGCACCCAUGGUGUCAGUAGUGUCAGCUGGGGAUUCUGUGUACAGCAGCAGCAGUGGUGAUCUCACCACACAAGCUCUGUGUCAUUAUUUGGAGCAUUGUUUCUGGUUCUGUAUAUUUGCUCUUCAGCACAUUAAGAUUUUCCAUGAGCAACUCAAAACCAUUUGA